rnacentral:rRNA from 1 species
UGCCAGCCGCCGCGGUAAGACGGAGGGCGCAAACGUUGUUCGGAAUCACUGGGCAUAAAGAGCACGUAGGCGGCUUGCUAAGUCGGAUGUGAAAGCCCUCGGCCCAACCGGGGAACUGCAUCCGAUACUGGCAGGCUCGAGGACGGUAGGGGUAAGUGGAACUCCAGGUGGAACGGUGAAAUGUGUAGAUAUCUGGAGGAACACCGGUGGCGAAAGCGACUUACUGGACCGUCUCUGACGCUGAGGUGCGAAAGCUAGGGUAGCGAACGGGAUUAGAUA